AACUUUUACACGUCAGGCCCGAGUGGGUAGCGCCUUCUUGGAACUCCCCACAGCACUGCCUCUGACAGACACUUAUUCAUGCUUGUGGCUUUUCACCGAAAUGUGUUAAAAACAGUCAAACCUUUGGUCCAGUGGAGAUCCAUCUACCCACUUCCACUCUCCCUCUUCCUCUGAGUCGGUCUGCUCCUUGAUUUUGGCACUCAUCUCUGCUCUGACUCCAGGAUGAUUUUAGUGUGGAGAAAUAAUAACACUUUUCUCCAAAUGGCUCCCAGCCUGCUCCACAUUUAAGACAUGUGUUGUCUGU